GAUGGUAGGUCCAUCGAUAUCGGCUACUAGAAGCAGGUAUCAAACCACCUCAUGCAGCUGUUAUUAAGAGUAAUGGUUGUGAGUGUUUGAGGAAAGUCAGAGGUAAAUCUGGCGAGG
rfam:Allofrancisella guangzhouensis strain 08HL01032 chromosome, complete genome.